UAGGGAAUCUUCGGCAAUGGACGAAAGUCUGACCGAGCAACGCCGCGUGAGUGAAGAAGGUUUUCGGAUCGUAAAACUCUGUUGUUAGAGAAGAACAAGGACGUUAGUAACUGAACGUCCCCUGACGGUAUCUAACCAGAAAGCCACGGCUAACUACGUGCCAGCAGCCGCGGUAAUACGUAGGUGGCAAGCGUUGUCCGGAUUUAUUGGGCGUAAAGCGAGCGCAGGCGGUUUCUUAAGUCUGAUGUGAAAGCCCCCGGCUCAACCGGGGAGGGUCAUUGGAAACUGGGAGACUUGAGUGCAGAGGAGGAGAGUGGGAUUCCAUGUGUAGCGGUGAGAUGCGUAGAUAUAUGGAGGAACACCAGUGGCGAAGGCGGCUCUCUGGUCUGUAACUGACGCUGAGGCUCGAAAGCGUGGGGAGCAAACAGG
rnacentral:rRNA from 1 species